AGAGUUUGAUUAUGGCUCAGGAUGAACGCUGACAGAAUGCUUAACACAUGCAAGUCUACUUGAAGCACUUUCGGGUGUGGAUGGUGGCGGACGGGUGAGUAACGCGUAAAUAACUUGCCCCUUAGUCUGGGACAACUGUUGGAAACGACAGCUAAUACUAGAUAUUAUGACAUCUUGGCAUCAAGAAGUUAUGAAAGCUAUAUGCGCUAAGGGAGAGAUUUGCGUCCUAUUAGCUAGUUGGUGAGGUAAUGGCUCACCAAGGCGACGAUAGGUAGCCGGCCUGAGAGGGUGAACGGCCACAAGGGGACUGAGACACGGCCCUUACUCCUACGGGAGGCAGCAGUGGGGAAUAUUGGACAAUGGACCAAAAGUCUGAUCCAGCAAUUCCGUGUGCUUGAUGAAGGCCUUCGGGUUGUAAAGAGCUUUAAGUAGGGAAGAAGAAAGUGACGGUACCUACAGAAUAAGCGACGGCUAAAUACGUGCCAGCCGCGGC
rnacentral:rRNA from 1 species